rnacentral:rRNA from 1 species
CCUACGGGUGGCAGCAGUGAGGAAUAUUGGUCAAUGGACGCAAGUCUGAACCAGCCAUGCCGCGUGCAGGAAGACGGCCCUAUGAGUUGUAAACUGCUUUUGUACGAGGGUAAACGCCGAUACGUGUAUCUUUCUGCAUGUAUCGUACGAAUAAGGAUCGGCUAACUCCGUGCCAGCAGCCGCGGUAAUACGGAGGAUUCAAGCGUUAUCCGGAUUUAUUGGGUUUAAAGGGUGCGUAGGCGGUAGGGUAAGUUAGAGGUGAAAGCUCGAGGCUCAACUACGGAAUUGCAUUUGAUACUGUGAGGCUAGAGAGUAGUUGCGGUAGGCGGAAUGUAUGGUGUAGCGGUGAAAUGCUUAGAGAUCAUGCAGAACACCGAUUGCGAAGGCAGCUUACCAAACUGCAUCUGACGUUGAGGCUCGAAAGCGUGGGGAGCAAACAGGAUUAGAUACCCCGGUAGUC